UGUUCGCCCUCCAAAGGCGAGCGUUACUGAAGAGGCGACUACUUCCUUGCCGGGCGUGCGGACGGGACUUCCCGCUCCAAGCGUUGGCUUCUUUC
rfam:Pseudoxanthobacter soli DSM 19599 genome assembly, contig: EJ95DRAFT_scaffold00003.3